rnacentral:lncRNA from 1 species
GUGGUCCUGGGGCAGCCCGGGCCAGCCAGGAGAACCCGCGAGCCCAGCGGCGCCUGCACCUGCGGCUUCCGGGAGCCGGGCGGCUUUGCGAGGCUCACUAGGUCUGAGAGGUCGGAGGCCGCCAGUGUCGCUGCUGAAGGGUGGACCAGGCGGGAUCGCGGAUUCUGGGCUAGAUCGCAGACUUGGUAUCGCGGAUUGGGAUUUGGAUCGGGGAUUUUGAGUUGGAUCACGGAUUGGGGGUUGGAUCGCGGAUUGGGGGUUGGAUCGCGGAUUGGGGGUUGGAUCGCGGAUUGGGGGUUGGAUCGCGGAUUGGGAGUUGGAUCGCGGAUUGGGGGUUGGAUCGCGGAUUGGGGGUUGGAUAGGGGAUUUGGA